rnacentral:tRNA from 1 species
GCGGUGGUGGUUCAGUGGUAGAAUUCUCACCUUCCACGAGGGAGGCCCAGGUUCAACUCCUCGCCAAUGCA